GACAAACGCUGGCGGCGUGCUUAACACAUGCAAGUCGAACGGGAAGGCCCUGCUUUUGUGGGGUGCUCGAGUGGCGAACGGGUGAGUAACACGUGAGUAGCCUGCCCUUGACUUUGGGAUAACUUCAGGAAACUGGGGCUAAUACCGGAUAGGAGCUCCUGCUGCAUGGUGGGGGUUGGAAAGUUUCGGCGGUUGGGGAUGGACUCGCGGCUUAUCAGCUUGUUGGUGGGGUAGUGGCUUACCAAGGCUUUGACGGGUAGCCGGCCUGAGAGGGUGACCGGCCACAUUGGGACUGAGAUACGGCCCAGACUCCUACGGGAGGCAGCAGUGGGGAAUAUUGCACAAUGGGCGGAAGCCUGAUGCAGCAACGCCGCGUGCGGGAUGACGGCCUUCGGGUUGUAAACCGCUUUCGCCUGUGACGAAGCGCGAGUGACGGUAAUGGGUAAAGAAGCACCGGCUAACUACGUG
rnacentral:rRNA from 1 species